UUAUUACUCCCCCGGUCCAGAAUUACUUGUUUCAAAAAUGUAUAAAUUUGAUGUAUCUAAAAUUAAAAUACAUCUAGAUAUAUUCAUUUCUAUGACAAGUAUUUCUUGAUCGAGGGAGUACUGU
rfam:Hordeum vulgare subsp. vulgare, WGS project CAJW01000000 data, contig: morex_contig_39048